GUUCAAACAUAAUCUCUUAAUCCUAUACGCUGGAAAAACAACUCCCUUAAAAGCAGACUUUAUAUCCAAAUACCUCAGGGGUUGCGUUCCCAGGACCUGAGAGUCCUCCCUCAGAUGAAGAGUGAAGACACCCAUCUGGACACCCAUCUGGAGACCUCUUAGAUAAAAUGCAUCCGAUGUAACCAAUGAAGAAUUGUUGCAGUAACCAUUUUCCCAAAUGCACAGUACAUGGGAAGGAAAAAAUAUUGCAAAUACAAGAAUCAACACUUUAAACAAAAAUCACAAACAUAACAGCUGGAGGGGAGAGUAAAAAGAAUAAUGAGAACUUCAUUGUCCAUUUAGAAAAAGUCUACUAUCUGUCUGGUCAUCAUUCAAGGCUCUCUGAAGACUUCCCUAAUGUCCCUAGGCACUCUAUGUUUCUUCCUUCUAUGUGUGUUUAUUUAUAUAGGGUUUGCUAUUUCUCCUUUAUCUGGGAGAUGAAAAAGAAUGGAUGUAAUGAAACAAGUAAGCAAA